rnacentral:rRNA from 1 species
GACGAACGCUGGCGGCGUGCCUAAUACAUGCCAGUCGAACGAGAGCGACCGGUGCUUGCACUGGUCAAUCUAGUGGCGAACGGGUGAGUAACACGUGGGUAACCUGCCCAUCAGAGGGGAUAACAUCCGGAAACGGAUGCUAAAACCGCAUAGGUCUUCGAGCCGCAUGGCUUGAAGAGGAAAAGAGGCGCAAGCUUCUGCUGAUGGAUGGACCCGCGGUGCAUUAGCUAGUUGGUGAGGUAACGGCUCACCAAGGCCGUGAUGCAUAGCCGACCUGAGAGGGGGAUCGGCCACAUUGGGACUGAGACACGGCCCAAACUCCUACGGGAGGCAGCAGUAGGGAAUCUUCCGCAAUGGACGCAAGUCUGACGGAGCAACGCCGCGGGAGUGAAGAAGGUUUUCGGAUCGUAAAACUCUGUUGUUAGAGAAGAACAAGUGCUAGAGUAACUGUUAGCGCCUUGACGGUAUCUAACCAGAAAGCCACGGCUAACUACGU